AGUGAACGCUGGCGGCGUGCUUAACACAUGCAAGUCGAACGAGAACGGAAUAUAGCUUGCUAUAUUUGUCAGCUAAGUGGCGCACGGGUGAGUAAUGUAUAGAUAACCUGCCCUUAAGAAAGGAAUAACAGUUGGAAACGACUGCUAAUGCCCUAUAUGCCUUUAAUACAUAAGUAUGCAAGGGAAACGCUUUAGUGCUUAAGGAUGGGUCUGUAUGGUAUCAGCUUGUUGGUGAGGUAAUGGCUCACCAAGGCUAUGACGCCUAACUGGUUUGAGAGGAUGAUCAGUCACACUGGAACUGAGACACGGUCCAGACUCCUACGGGAGGCAGCAGUGGGGAAUAUUGCGCAAUGGACGAAAGUCUGAUGCAGCAACGCCGCGUGGAGGAUGACACAUUUCGGUGCGUAAACUCCUUUUAUAUAGGAAGAUAAUGACGGUACUAUAUGAAUAAGCACCGGCUAACUCCGUGCCAGCCGCCGCCGCGG
rnacentral:rRNA from 1 species